GAAGAAAUGACUGAGUGGUUAAAAGUGAUAGAUUGUAAAUCUAUUAGGUACGUCCUAUCGUAGGUUCAAAUCCUACUUUCUUCU
rnacentral:tRNA from 1 species